rnacentral:lncRNA from 1 species
GGAGAAUUUGGGAAGAGGUAAGAACAAUUCAUGUGAAUUGUGAAGAGUCCUACAAGAAAGCCAGAUUGUUCCCUGGGAUCUCUUUGAGGGCAGGGAGAGAGAAUGAAAAUACAGAUAAUGAGGAUGACUCUUGGCAGACUGUCCACCUACGACUGGCAUUUCUGCAAGAGUCCUGUAACAACAUUUUGAAGAUAAAAUCACGCCACGACUCUGAAAUUGGAAGUACAGAACAUAUAAGAAAAUAAAUCAAGAAAUGAGGGGAAUCUCCUGAAAGGUACUAAAGAAAGAAAACUAGUGUCUUACAUCUAGUAAGUA